AUAACCAUGCUGCUGCCUCCUCUGCUGCAACACAAACACCAGCUAAUGCAGCCAAUUCCAACACUUUGACAUCUAACGGUCUUCCUCCGAGCCCAUCUUUUAUUACACCAUUUAUAGCCACUGAUCAUCAACGGUUGGUUUUCCGGUUUAUCGGGUACCACCUGAAACCAAUAAAGAUGCAUGAGCUUAAUUUUCAAAAUUCACAAAAAAAAACAAGUUUGCAGCAUACCACAAUAAC
rnacentral:lncRNA from 1 species